rnacentral:rRNA from 1 species
UACGUAGGGGGCAAGCGUUGUCCGGAUUUAUUGGGCGUAAAGAGCGUGUAGGCGGCUUUACAGGUCCGUUGUGAAAACUCGAGGCUCAACCUCGAGACGCCGGUGGAAACCGUAAGGCUAGAGUCCGGAAGAGGAGAGUGGAAUUCCUGGUGUAGCGGUGAAAUGCGUAGAGAUCAUGAGGAAGACCAGUGGCGAAGGCGGGUCUCUGGACAAUUGCUGACGCUCAGGCACGAAAGCGUGGGGAGCAAAAGGG